AUAUUUACUUAGCAGGAAAAAUGCCGCUAUCAAGUAGGUGGUUUUCCCAGGAUGAGGCUUGACCAUUGCACUGCGUUUCUGCUGACUCUUGUGAUUUCCCCAAAUGUGGAAAUGUGCCUGACUUGUGAUGGGGAGGACGGCCUUCGUGCUCCUUCCCU